UGAUCCUGGCUCAGGAUGAACGCUGGCGGCGUGCCUAAUACAUGCAAGUCGAGCGAGGUUCUUCGGAACCUAGCGGCGGACGGGUGAGUAACACGUGGGUAACCUGCCUAUAAGACUGGGAUAACUUCGGGAAACCGAAGCUAAUACCGGAUACUUUCGAGCAUCGCAUGAUGCUUGAUGGAAAGACGGCUUCGGCUGUCACUUACAGAUGGACCCGCGUCGCAUUAGCUAGUUGGUGAGGUAACGGCUCACCAAGGCGACGAUGCGUAGCCGACCUGAGAGGGUGAUCGGCCACACUGGGACUGAGACACGGCCCAGACUCCUACGGGAGGCAGCAGUAGGGAAUCUUCGGCAAUGGGCGAAAGCCUGACCGAGCAACGCCGCGUGAGCGAUGAAGGCCUUCGGGUCGUAAAGCUCUGUUGUUAAGGAAGAACAAGUACGAGAGUAACUGCUCGUACCUUGACGGUACUUAACGAGAAAGCCACGGCUAACUACGUGCCAGCAGCCGCGGUAAUACGUAGGUGGCAAGCGUUAUCCGGAAUUAUUGGGCGUAAAGCGCGCGCAGGCGGUUUCUUAAGUCUGAUGUGAAAGCCCACGGCUCAACCGUGGAGGGUCAUUGGAAACUGGGGAACUUGAGUGCAGAAGAGGAAAGCGGAAUUCCACGUGUAGCGGUGAAAUGCGUAGAGAUGUGGAGGAACACCAGUGGCGAAGGCGGCUUUCUGGUCUGUAACUACGCUAGGCGCAAAGC
rnacentral:rRNA from 1 species